GCUAGCGGCAGGCUUAACACAUGCAAGUCGAGGGGUAACAGGGUGCUUGCACCGCUGACGACCGGCGCACGGGUGCGUAACGCGUAUACAAUCUACCUUAUAGAGGGGGAUAGCCCAGAGAAAUUUGGAUUAAUACCCCAUAGUAUUUAGAGACAGCAUUGUCUUUUGAUUAAACAUUUAUGGCUAUAAGAUGAGUAUGCGUCCUAUUAGUUAGUUGGUAAGGUAACGGCUUACCAAGACCGCGAUAGGUAGGGGUCCUGAGAGGGAGAUCCCCCACACUGGUACUGAGACACGGACCAGACUCCUACGGGAGGCAGCAGUGAGGAAUAUUGGACAAUGGGCGAGAGCCUGAUCCAGCCAUGCCGCGUGCAGGAAGACGGCCCUAUGGGUUGUAAACUGCUUUUAUACGGGAAGAAACACUCUGACGUGUCAGAGCUUGACGGUACCGUAAGAAUAAGGAUCGGCUAACUCCGUGCCAGCAGCCGCGGUAAUACGGAGGAUCCAAGCGUUAUCCGGAAUCAUUGGGUUUAAAGGGUCCGUAGGCGGGACAAUAAGUCAGCGGUGAAAGUCUGUGGCUCAACCAUAGAAUUGCCAUUGAUACUGUUGUUCUUGAGUGUUUAUGAAGUGGUUGGAAUAUGUAGUGUAGCGGUGAAAUGCAUAGAUAUUACAUAGAACACCGAUUGCGAAGGCAGAUCACUAAUAAAAUACUGACGCUGAUGGACGAAAGCGUAGGUAGCGAACAGGAUUAGAUACCCUGGUAGUCUACGCCGUAAACGAUGGUUACUAGCUGUUCGGCUUCGGCUGAGUGGCUAAGCGAAAGUGAUAAGUAACCCACCUGGGGAGUACGUUCGCAAGAAUGAAACUCAAAGGAAUUGACGGGGGCCCGCACAAGCGGUGGAGCAUGUGGUUUAAUUCGAUGAUACGCGAGGAACCUUACCAGGGCUUAAAUGUAGAUUGACAGGGGUGGAAACACCUUUUCCUUCGGGCAAUUUACAAGGUGCUGCAUGGUUGUCGUCAGCUCGUGCCGUGAGGUGUCAGGUUAAGUCCUAUAACGAGCGCAACCCCUGUGGUUAGUUGCCAGCGAGUAAUGUCGGGAACUCUAACCAGACUGCCAGUGCAAACUGUGAGGAAGGUGGGGAUGACGUCAAAUCAUCACGGCCCUUACGUCCUGGGCCACACACGUGCUACAAUGGUAGGGACAGAGAGCAGCCACUGGGUGACCAGGAGCGAAUCUACAAACCCUAUCUCAGUUCGGAUCGGAGUCUGCAACUCGACUCCGUGAAGCUGGAAUCGCUAGUAAUCGCAUAUCAGCCAUGAUGCGGUGAAUACGUUCCCGGGCCUUGUACACACCGCCCGUCAAGCCAUGGAAGCUGGGGGUACCUGAAGUCGGUCACCGCAAGGAGCCGCCUAGGGUAAAA
rnacentral:rRNA from 1 species